GGAGAACCUGCCGUAUACUGGGGGAUAACACUUAGAAAUAGGUGCUAAUACCGCAUAAGCGCACAGCUUCGCAUGAAGCGGUGUGAAAAACUCUGGUGGUAUACGAUGGUUCCGCGUCUGAUUAGCUAGUUGGUGGGGUAAUGGCCUACCAAGGCAACGAUCAGUAGCCGGCCUGAGAGGGUGAACGGCCACAUUGGGACUGAGACACGGCCCAAACUCCUACGGGAGGCAGCAG
rnacentral:rRNA from 1 species